rnacentral:rRNA from 1 species
AUGUCACGAGGCAAAUUUCAGAGUUUGCAAUCCCGGCAGCUGAAACGGAUUAUUGCGUGGGAUGACACCCUCUCUCUUGCUGGCAAGGAGACUAUGAUCAAGGCAGUAGCUCAGGCCAUCCCUACUUAUAUUAUGGGGGGUUUCAAAUUACCUAUGUCAGUCUGUGAUGAUCUAAACAUAAUGAUCCGGAACUUUUGGUGGGGGACUUUGGAAGGCAAGCAGAAAACACAUUGGCUCGCAUGGCCGAAGAUUCAAGCACAGAAAAGCAAAGGUGGAUUGGGAUUCAGGGACUUCCGCCUUUUCAACCAGGCUCCCCUAGCGAGACAGGACCGGCGUCUUCUAACUAAUCCCAAUAACUUGUGUGUGCAGGUCCUCAAGGUGCGUUACUAUCAUGAUGGGCACCUCGAAGAUAGGGUCUUCGCGGGGUACGCCUCUCCGAUGUGGCAUGCAAUUCAGCAUGGCCUCGAGCUCUUGAAAAAGGGCAGCAUAUGGCGCGUCGGUUAUGGGUGGGACAUUCACAUAUGGUGCAAUAGGUGGCUGCCGAGGGAGCCGUCGCGCCAACCUAUCACCCCACAGGGUACGUGCCGCUUGAGGAGGGCGGCAGAGCUCAUGGACAAAGAAGGGUCCUGGCGCGUGGACCUUCUCCGCCGGUACUUCCUACCGGCGGAUGUCGAGUCAUCAUCGCCAUCUCCAUGGAUGAGCGCGAGCGUCCAUCGGCAUCUGGCACGAGCAGGGCAUCGGACGGUCGUCACGCCAUCUGAAAGAUCAUAUGGGGGUGCCCUGCUCCCCCAAAGGUACACGUGUUCGCUUGGAGAGUCGUCACCAACUCACUUGCUACUUGGGCUAAUAAAGCCUCGCGUCACCUUGAGAUUACUGACAUCUGCCCCCUUUGUAGUGUGGAACACGAGGAUGGAUUCCAUGCACUGUGCAGAAGCCCCUGGCAAGAGAGCUCUGGCGUGCUAUGGCCUUGGACUGGAAUAUUCCCAAUGUGGAGUCCAUCCAUAA